rnacentral:rRNA from 1 species
UACGUAGGGAGCAAGCGUUGUCCGGAAUCAUUGGGCGUAAAGCGCGCGUAGGUGGCCCCGUAAGUCCGCUGUGAAAGUCAAAGGCUCAACCUUUGAAAGCCGGUGGAUACUGUGGGACUAGAGUACGGAAGAGGCGAGUGGAAUUCCUGGUGUAGCGGUGGAAUGCGCAGAUAUCAGGAGGAACACCUAUAGCGAAGGCAGCUCGCUGGGACGGUACUGACGCUGAGACGCGAAAGCGUGGGGAGCGAACAGG